rnacentral:rRNA from 1 species
UACAGAGGGUGCAAGCGUUAAUCGGAAUUACUGGGCGUAAAGCGCGCGUAGGUGGUUUGUUAAGUUGGAUGUGAAAGCCCCGGGCUCAACCUGGGAACUGCAUUCAAAACUGACAAGCUAGAGUAUGGUAGAGGGUGGUGGAAUUUCCUGUGUAGCGGUGAAAUGCGUAGAUAUAGGAAGGAACACCAGUGGCGAAGGCGACCACCUGGACUGAUACUGACACUGAGGCACGAAAGCGUGGGGAGCAAACAGG